rnacentral:rRNA from 1 species
CACGUAGGGCGCAAGCGUUGUCCGGAAUUAUUGGGCGUAAAGAGCUCGUAGGCGGUCUGUUGCGUCCGCUGUGAAAACUCGGGGCUUAACCCCGAGCCUGCAGUGGAUACGGGCAGACUAGAGGUAGGUAGGGGAGAAUGGAGUUCCCGGUGUAGCGGUGAAAUGCGCAGAUAUCGGGAGGAACACCGGUGGCGAAGGCGGUUCUCUGGGCCUUACCUGACGCUGAGGAGCGAAAGCGUGGGGAGCGAACAGG